GAGAUGUGUGAUGACGCAUAUCAAUAAGCGGAGGAAAAGAAACUAACAAGGAUUCCCUUAGUAACGGCGAGUGAAGCGGGAAGAGCUCAAAUUUGAAAUCUUCAAGGUUCUACCUUGACGAAUUGUAGUUUAUAGAAGUGUUUUCUGUUAGUGGAGUGGCAAAAGUUCUUUGGAAUAGGACAUCAUAGAGGGUGAGAAUCCCGUAUUUGACCGUUACUUUCCAGCUGUGUGAUACACUUUCAAAGAGUCGGAUUGUUUGGGAAUGCAGCCCAAAAUGGGUGGUAAAUUUCAUCUAAAGCUAAAUAUUGGCGAGAGACCGAUAGCGAACAAGUACCGUGAGGGAAAGAUGAAAAGAACUUUGAAAAGAGAGUUAAACAGUACGUGAAAUUGUCAAAAGGGAAGCGUUUGACACCAGUGUUGUUUAGUUGAAAAUCAAUUAAAUAUUUUUCGAUUUUAAGUAGUAUUGACCUUAUCAGCUUGCUGCUUUUUUCUCGGAAAUUAUUUAAUGCACUUUUCAGUUAACAAGUCAACAUCAAUUUCUUUUGUUGUAAAAAGGUAAGAGGAAGGUGGCUUGCGCUUCGGCUCAAGUGUUUAUAGCCUUUUACCCCUGCAAUCGGAGAGAUUGAGGUCUGCAGCGUAGAUCCUUCGGGGUUAGAUACAUUUGUGCUAAGCUAUAGCCUUGUAUAGACAACUUGUUGACUAUGCUCAGUCAUGUAGCUUACUCGCUUAUGCUAUUUUACCUACGCUUAGGAUGUUGACGAUCAGCUGAGCGCG
rnacentral:rRNA from 1 species